rnacentral:rRNA from 1 species
CCUACGGGAGGCAGCAGUGGGGAAUAUUGCACAAUGGGCGAAAGCCUGAUGCAGCAACGCCGCGUGAGCGAAGAAGGCCUUCGGGUCGUAAAGCUCUGUCCUAAGGGAAGAAAAAUGACGGUACCUUAGGAGGAAGCCCCGGCUAACUACGUGCCAGCAGCCGCGGUAAUACGUAGGGGGCGAGCGUUAUCCGGAAUCACUGGGCGUAAAGGGUGCGUAGGCGGCCAAAUAAGCCAGGGGUGAAAGGCUGCGGCUCAACCGCAGUAAGCCUUUGGAACUGUAUGGCUUGAGUGCAGGAGAGGAGAGUGGAAUUCCUAGUGUAGCGGGGAAAUGCGUAGAUAUUAGGAGGAACACCAGUGGCGAAGGCGACUCUCUGGACUGCAACUGACGCUGAGGCACGAAAGCGUGGGGAGCGAACAGGAUUAGAUACCCUGGUAGUCCGCGCCGUAAACGAUGAGUGCUAGGUGUCGGGGGUUCACACCCUCGGUGCCGGAGUUAACGCAUUAAGCACUCCGCCUGGGGAGUACGGUCGCAAGACUGAAACUCAAAGGAAUUGACGGA